rnacentral:piRNA from 1 species
UUGCAGAACUAUGGUGAGCCG